GGGCGAAUGGUGUAGUGGCUAUCAUCCCCGCUUUGCAUCUUUCAUGCAACCUUGCGGGUGGUCGGGGGUUCAAAUCCCUCUUCGUCCA
rnacentral:tRNA from 1 species